rnacentral:tmRNA from 1 species
GGGGGUGACCCGGUUUCGACAGGGGAACUGCAGGCGCUGCUGCGUGUCGAGGUGCCGUUGGCUUCGUUAAACACGGCAAAGCCAUUAACUGGCAACCAGAACUACGCUCUCGCUGCUUAAGUGAGACAGUGACCGCCUAGCCCGGCCUUUGGCGCGGCGCGAACUGAAACAAAAGAAGGCUAGCCCAGGCGAGGUUCCAUAGCCAAAGGCGAAAACAAGUGGAAAUACGGCUCGGUGAAACCCGCCCACUGGUGGCACCCGGCCCGACAAUCAAAGAGCGGGAUACACACGUAGACGCACGCUGAACGGACUCUUGGACGGCGGUUCGACUCCGCCCACCUCCACCA